GACGAACGCUGGCGGCGUGCCUAAUACAUGCAAGUCGAACGCAGUGGGGACGGGUGAGUAACACGUGGGUAACCUCCCAUCAGAGGGGAUAACACUUGGAAACAGGUGCUAAACCGAUACUGAUGGAUGGACCCGCGGUGCAUUAGCUAGUUGGUGAGGUAACGGCUCACCAAGGCCACGAUGCAUAGCCCGACGGAGAGGGUGGUCGGCCAAACUGGGACUUAGACACGGUCCAGACUCCUACGGGAGGCAGCAGGUGGGAAUCUUCCGCAAUUGGACAAAGUUUUACCGAGCAAAGGCGGGUGAGUGAAGAAGGGUUUCGGAUUGUAAAACCCUUUUUGUAGGGAAGCGGUUUUCAACCAGAAAGCCACGGCUAACUACGUGCCAGCAGCCGCGGUAAUUC
rnacentral:rRNA from 1 species